rnacentral:rRNA from 1 species
UAGGGAAUCUUCCGCAAUGGACGAAAGUCUGACGGAGCAACGCCGCGUGAGUGAAGAAGGAUUUCGGUUCGUAAAACUCUGUUGUUAGGGAAGAAAAAAUGUAUAGUAACUAUAUACAAAAGAGACGGUACCUAACCAGAAAGCCACGGCUAAAUACGUGUCAGCAGCCGCGGUAAUACGAAGGUGGCAAGCGUUGUCCGGAAUUAUUGGGCGUAAAGUGAGCGCAGGUGGUUUAGAAAGACUGAUGUGAAAGCCCACGACUCAACCGUGGAGGGUCAUUGGAAACUAAUAAACUUGAGUGCAGGAGAGAAAAGUGGAAUUCCUAGUGUAGCGGUGACAUGCGUAGAGAUUAGGAGGAACCCCGGUGGCGAAAGCGGCUUUUUGGCCUGCAACUGACACUGAGGCGCUAAAGCGUGGGGAGCAAACAGG